rnacentral:tRNA from 1 species
GUUUUAAUAGUUUAAAAAAAACACUGGUCUUGUAAACCAGAAUUAAGAGUACCCCCCCUUUUUUAAAACA